CAUAAUGACAUAAUAUCUUUUUGGUUAAAAAGUGAGAAAUUUUCUUUUGAAAACACAAAUUUAUUAGCAAAAUUGAAUGUUUACAUCGAAAAAAGCGGAUAUGAACGAAAAAUUAGUUUCGACUCUCAAGAAAGCGGUACAUAUAAUAAAUUCGAAUCAGCGACAAUAACAGGGAGAAGUUGUGGGAUCCGUUUCGUUCGAUUCUCGAUCAAUGGAGAACGAGCAAGAUCGAAUUCUGCUGGACGGAAGUUCGUGUGCCGCGCGAAUAUCGAAACAGAAUCCGAACCAGUCAACUGCCGUCUCUCAAUACCAAAAUAAACUUUGGAGUUCGCUGCAACAGACCACGUCCAACGAUAAUGCAAAAGAUGGCGGUGACGAAGAAUUAGAGCAUCUCGAGGAUCUGAAGUUUGCGUUUCCCAAGAAGGUCAAGGCUUAUGGGAGAAGAAGAAAAGCGAACGCCAGCAAGCGCAGAGUCACGUUCGCUGAUCAUUAAACUCGUUCGCGGCGAGCGUUGCAUUAGAUUACAUUAAAAACUACCGCAAAUGCAGAUAUUGUAUUACGUCCUUUCGACCGACGUCUGUGAUCAGAUUUUUCUGCGUAAUAAGAUUUUUCGUUUAAAGGCGCGAGAGAGCAGAUAAUGCAGUUCUCGCCGUCAUAAAAUUCUGUAAUCGAUAUUUGUCGACGAUAUGUUCUCUUGUGAUUAGUAGUAAA